rnacentral:rRNA from 1 species
UACGGAGGGUGCGAGCGUUAAUCGGAAUUACUGGGCGUAAAGCGCACGCAGGCGGUUUGUUAAGCAAGAUGUGAAAGCCCCGGGCUCAACCUGGGAACUGCAUUUUGAACUGGCAGACUAGAGUCUUGGAGGAGGGGGGUGGAAUUCCAGGUGUAGCGGUGAAAUGCGUAGAGAUCUGGAGGAACAUCAGUGGCCGAAGGACGGCCCCUGGCCAAAGACUGACGCUACAUGGUGCGAAAGUGUA